rnacentral:rRNA from 1 species
UAGGGAAUCUUCGGCAAUGGACGAAAGUCUGACCGAGCAACGCCGCGUGAGUGAAGAAGGUUUUCGGAUCGUAAAACUCUGUUGUUAGAGAAGAACAAGGACGUUAGUAACUGAACGUCCCCUGACGGUAUCUAACCAGAAAGCCACGGCUAACUACGUGCCAGCAGCCGCGGUAAUACGUAGGUGGCAAGCGUUGUCCGGAUUUAUUGGGCGUAAAGCGAGCGCAGGCGGUUUCUUAAGUCUGAUGUGAAAGCCCCCGGCUCAACCGGGGAGGGUCAUUGGAAACUGGGAGACUUGAGUGCAGAAGAGGAGGGUGGAAUUCCAUGUGUAGCGGUGAAAUGCGUAGAUAUAUGGAGGAACACCAGUGGCGAAGGCGGCUCUCUGGUCUGUAACUGACGCGGAGGCUCGAAAGCGUGGGGAGCAAACAGG